GCAAACUUGGUCAUUUAGAGGAAGUAAAAGUCGUAACAAGGUUUCCGUAGGUGAACCUGCGGAAGGAUCAUUAUUGAAUGUCCUUGAUGGGUUGUUGCUGGCUCGUCCGAGCAUGUGCACGCCUGUCUUGACUAUCCAUUCAUCCACCUGUGCACCAUUUGUAGUUGCUUCUUUGGGUGGGCUGAGCAAGUGACUGUCAGUUAACAGACUUGGUUUUGAGGUUUGCUUGUUGCAGUAGCAUGGGCUCUCCUCUCUGUCACAUAAUGUCCCUCAAGAAGGGCUAUGCCUUUUAAUCAUACACUACUAGUAUGUUAUUGGAAUGUACUCAAUGGGCCUUUGUGCCUAUACAAUUUUAUACAACUUUCAGCAACGGAUCUCUUGGCUCUCGCAUCGAUGAAGAACGCAGC
rnacentral:misc_RNA from 1 species